CAGUAGCCGCGGGAAUACAGAGGAUGCAAGCGUUAUCCGGAAUGAUUGGGCGUAAAGCGUCUGUAGGUGGCUUUUCAAGUCCGCCGUCAAAUCCCAGGCCUCAACCCUGGACAGGCGGUGGAAACUACCAAGCUGGAGUACGGUAGGGGCAGAGGGAAUUUCCAGUGGAGCGGUGAAAUGCGUUGAGAUCGAAAAGAACACCAACAGCGAAAGCACUCUGCUGGGACGACACUGACACUAAGAGACGAAAGCUAGGGGAGCAAAUGGGAUUAGAGACCCGUGUAGUCCCUGUCUCUUAUAC
rnacentral:rRNA from 1 species